rnacentral:rRNA from 1 species
GACGUAGGGCGCGAGCGUUGUCCGGAUUUAUUGGGCGUAAAGAGCUCGUAGGCGGCUUGUCGCGUCGACUGUGAAAACCCACGGCUUAACUGUGGGCUUGCAGUCGAUACGGGCAGGCUAGAGUUCGGUAGGGGAGACUGGAAUUCCUGGUGUAGCGGUGAAAUGCGCAGAUAUCUGGAGGAACACCGGUGGCGAAGGCGGCAUCCUGGACCGGCAUUGACGCUGAGGCGCGAAAGCCAGGGGAGCAAACGGG